rnacentral:lncRNA from 1 species
AAAGUGAAAGAUUCUAAACUAUUACAAACAUACAAAUAGUAUGAUUAACUUUUAACCAUAUACAUGCAUUCAACUUAUACAUUCUUUUUCUUUAAACAUCAUUGUUUCUCAUUACAUCACAUGAUCUUCCAAAAUAUGCCUUUUCAUUCAAACAUAAGCUCUCUUUACAUUUAACCAUCAUUCAUACAUCUAUAAUCAUCAAAGUACAAAAGAUGAUAUAUAUAGGGUAUGCAACUAAACAAAAUAUGAAUACCAUCUCGGGUGGUCCCUAUCUAUGGCGCGAUAUCUUUACUGCGAUCGUCGGCCGGCUCACUCGGUCCCGGCUCUGUAAAAAUAGUGGGAUGAGAACUACAACAAAGUUCCCAGUGGGUUCAGCCACUGACCUCGCCGACUUUCCCACUAUGUCUAAAUCAGGCAUAAUAGAAGAAUAAUAGGUAGAUAGUAACCGAACUAUACAAUGCAACUAAUAUGCCUGAACAAUAUAAUCAAU